rnacentral:rRNA from 1 species
UACGAAGGGGGCUAGCGUUACUCGGAUUGACUGGGCGUAAAGGGCGCGUAGGCGGCUUGUACAGUCAGACGUGAAAUUCCUGGGCUCAACCUUGGGGCUGCGUUUGAUACGUAUGGGCUUGAGUUCGGAAGAGGGUCGUGGAAUUCCCAGUGUAGAGGUGAAAUUCGUAGAUAUUGGGAAGAACACCGGUGGCGAAGGCGGCGACCUGGUCCGAUACUGACACUGAGGAGCGAAAGCCAGGGGAGCAAACGGG